GAUGAACGCUAGCGGCAGGCCUAAUACAUGCAAGUCGGACGGGAUUCAGGAGCUUGCUUCUGAUGAGAGUGGCGCACGGGUGCGUAACACGUAUGUAACCUACCUUUAUCAGGGGGAUAGCCUCUCGAAAGAGAGAUUAAGCCCGCAUAAAAUCACAGCACAGCAUUGUGUAAUGAUCAAAUAUUUAUAGGAUAAAGAUGGGCAUGCGGAACAUUAGCUAGAUGGCGGGGUAACGGCCCACCAUGGCGACGAUGUUUAGGGGAUCUGAGAGGAUGGCCCCCCACACUGGUACUGAGACACGGACCAGACUCCUACGGGAGGCAGCAGUAAGGAAUAUUGGUCAAUGGGCGGAAGCCUGAACCAGCGAUGCCGCGUGCAGGAAGACGGCCUUACGGGUUGUAAACUGCUUUUAUACGGGAAUAAACCCAGAUACGUGUAUCUGGCUGAAUGUAAUGUAAGAAUAAGGAUCGGCUAACUACGUG
rnacentral:rRNA from 1 species